rnacentral:rRNA from 1 species
CAGGGUCUUGACAUCCCGGUGACCGCUCUAGAGAUAGAGUUUUCUCUUCGGAGACACUGGUGACAGGUGGUGCAUGGUUGUCGUCAGCUCGUGUCGUGAGAUGUUGGGUUAAGUCCCGCAACGAGCGCAACCCUUAUUGUUAGUUGCUACGCAAGAGCACUCUAGCGAGACUGCCGUUGACAAAACGGAGGAAGGUGGGGACGACGUCAAAUCAUCAUGCCCCUUAUGUCCUGGGCCACACACGUACUACAAUGGUGGUCAACAGAGGGAAGCAAUACCGCGAGGUGGAGCAAAUCCCUAAAAGCCAUCCCAGUUCGGAUCGCAGGCUGCAACCCGCCUGCGUGAAGUUGGAAUCGCUAGUAAUCGCGGAUCAGCAUGCCGCGGUGAAUACGUUCCC